CGGUCAACUGGCGCAGGACGCAGGCUGGCUGAUGGCCAGCGAGAUGAUCGCCAUGGAUAUCGAUAUCAGUUUCGCCCCGGUGCUGGACGU
rnacentral:tRNA from 1 species